UCCGGUGAAAUGAGUGCACAGGACAGGGUCUAAUCUUGUGCACUCAUUUCACCGGAUUAGACCCUGUCCUGUGCACUCAUUUCACCC
rnacentral:pre_miRNA from 1 species